rnacentral:rRNA from 1 species
UACGGAGGGUGCGAGCGUUGUCCGGAAUCACUGGGCGUAAAGGGCGCGUAGGCGGCCUGAUAAGUAGGGGGUGAAAUCCUGCGGCUUAACCGCAGGGCUGCCUUCUAAACUGUCAGGCUCGAGCACAGUAGAGGCAGGUGGAAUUCCCGGUGUAGCGGUGGAAUGCGUAGAGAUCGGGAGGAAGGCCGGUGGCGAAGGCGGCGCUCUGGAACAUUUCUGACGCUGAGGCUCGAAAGCGUGGGGAGCAAACAGG